rnacentral:rRNA from 1 species
CAAGUCGAACGAGAAAGCGGGGGCAACCUCGUGAGUAAAGUGGCGUACGGGUGAGUAACACGUGGAUAAUCCACCCUCUUGUGGGGGAUAACCCUGGGAAACCGGGGCUAAUACCGCAUAAGCUCGAGAGAGGAAAGCAGCAAUGCGCUGGAGGAGGAGUCCGCGGCCGAUUAUGCUAGUUGGUAGGGUAAGAGCCUACCAAGGCUACGAUCGGUAGCCGGCCUGAGAGGGCACACGGCCACACUGGCACUGAAACACGGGCCAGACUCCUACGGGAGGCAGCAGUGGGGAAUCUUGCACAAUGGGGGCAACCCUGAUGCAGCGACGCCGCGUGAGCGAUGAAGCCCUUCGGGGUGUAAAGCUCUUUCGGCAGGGAAGAUUAUGACGGUACCUGCAGAAGCAGCUGCGGCUAACUACGUGCCAGCAGCCGCGGUAAUACGUAGGCAGCAAGCGUUGUUCGGAGUUACUGGGCGUAAAGGGUGUGUAGGCGGUUCUCUAAGUCUGGUGUGAAAUCUCCCGGCUCAACUGGGAGGGUGCGCCGAAAACUGGAGGGCUAGAGUGCGGGAUGGGAGAGUGGAAUUCCUGGUGUAGCGGUGAAAUGCGUAGAUAUCAGGAGGAACACCUGUGGUGUAGACGGCUCUCUGGACCGCAACUGACGCUGAGACACGAAAGCGUGGGUAGCAAACAGGAUUAGAUACCCUGGUAGUCCACGCCCUAAACGAUGCAUAUUUGGUGUGGGUCAUUCAUUUGAUCUGUGCCGGAGCUAACGCGUUAAAUAUGCCGCCUGGGGAGUACGGUCGCAAGGCUGAAACUCAAAGGAAUUGACGGGGGCCCGCACAAGCGGUGGAGCAUGUGGUUCAUUCGACGCAACGCGA